AUUGAACGCUGGCGGCAUGCUUUACACAUGCAAGUCGAACGGUAACAGGGUGCUUGCACCGCUGACGAGUGGCGAACGGGUGAGUAAUGCGUCGGAACGUGCCGAGUAGUGGGGGAUAACGCAGCGAAAGUUGUGCUAAUACCGCAUACGUACUGAGGUAGAAAGUGGGGGACCUUCGGGCCUCACGCUAUUCGAGCGGCCGACGUCUGAUUAGCUAGUUGGUGGGGUAAAGGCCUACCAAGGCGACGAUCAGUAGCUGGUCUGAGAGGACGAUCAGCCACCCUGGGACUGAGACACGGACCAGACUCCUACGAGAGGCAGCAGUGGGGAAUUUUGGACAAUGGGCGAAAGCCUGAUCCAGCAAUGCCGCGUGUGUGAAGAAGGCCUUCGGGUUGUAAAGCACUUUUGUCCGGAAAGAGAUGGCUCUGGUUAAUACCUGGGGUCGAUGACGGUACCGGAAGAAUAAGGACCGGCUAACUACGUGCCAGCCGCCGCCGUAA
rnacentral:rRNA from 1 species